UAGGGAAUCUUCCGCAAUGGACGAAAGUCUGACGGAGCAACGCCGCGUGAGUGAUGAAGGUUUUCGGAUCGUAAAGCUCUGUUGCCAGGGAAGAACGUCCGGUAGAGUAACUGCUACCGGAGUGACGGUACCUGAGAAGAAAGCCCCGGCUAACUACGUGCCAGCAGCCGCGGUAAUACGUAGGGGGCAAGCGUUGUCCGGAAUUAUUGGGCGUAAAGCGCGCGCAGGCGGUCACUUAAGUCUGGUGUUUAAGGCCAAGGCUCAACCUUGGUUCGCACUGGAAACUGGGUGACUUGAGUGCAGAAGAGGAGAGUGGAAUUCCACGUGUAGCGGUGAAAUGCGUAGAUAUGUGGAGGAACACCAGUGGCGAAGGCGACUCUCUGGGCUGUAACUGACGCUGAGGCGCGAAAGCGUGGGAGCAAACAGGAUUAGAUACCCUGGUAGUCCACGCCGUAAACGAUGAAUGCUAGGUGUUAGGGUUUCGAUACCCUUGGUGCCGAAGUUAACACAUUAAGCAUUCCGCCUGGGAGUACGGUCGC
rnacentral:rRNA from 1 species